CUUAACAGCAAACGUAGGUGCCAUCCACCCAGCCUUUAUCCCCAGUCCAAGCACUUCAGCGUGGAGGUCUAGCAAGCCCUGGACAGGACCAGCCAGCUAGAGACAGGUGAGCGGAGGAGGCACCCUCUCUGGCCCAUGGAGUCAGGGUUCAUUCGGCGCAUAGACUUGGAGGCCUGGAGGUGGGCCACCUUGGCCACUUGCUGGGGAUGAGGCCUUGAGUGCACCAUUUGCCCUCUAGCCCAUUUCCACAACUAUAAACUGGCAAGAAUAGUGCUUGCCUCUUGGCAUCAUUGUGAGGACUCCACAAAGUAAUGAAUGCAGCGCAUAUUUAUGAAACACCUGCUAUGUAUCAGACAUUGAAAUUGCAAAGAUAAGCAAACCUCUGCCCACAUGGAGGUCACCUGCCAGUGGGUAAUACCAGCUAGCGCUGCCAGCUACUGUGCUGAGAAUCUUACAUAUAUCUACCUAUAUUACCUCAUUCCAUCUCCUCAGCAGUUCCAUGAGGCAGGUAUUAUUACUGUGCCCAUUUAACAGAUGAUAAAACUGAGGCACAGGGGUGUAUACCUUCCCCAAGGCCACAUUGCUGAUGAGUAGAAUGCAUGUGGACGGCUUAGCCCAGUGCCUGGCUCAGUCGAUGACUGUGCUGCUGAUGUACUUGCCCGGCCCUGCUUCCCCUUCCUUCUUGCCUCUGCCAAAGGAUCUCAGUCCAGGGGCGAUGGGGCGCGGUGUCCUCUCCCCAGGUCUCUCACUUAGGGCAGGCACAGGGGCACUCUCCCCAGGUGCCCUGAGAAGGGGGCGGGGACCUAUGGCUGCCAGGGUUCCCAAAUCCUUGGUGCCUGUGUGACCUCUCCUCCAGGGCCUCAAAAGGACAACAAAAUACCCCAGGCAAGGAUCACUUGGGUCCAGCCUAAGGGCACAGGUGUUGGCCUGCAGAUGGGGUGACUGGUAGGCAGGUUACGCAGUCCUUGUCCCUUCCUCUCUCUCUCUCCACCUGACUGACCCGCUCAUCCCUGGAGAGCCACCAAAUUCCAGAGUCAGCGUCCCCUCAGGCAAGGCAGUAUUUGUCCCAGCAUCACCUGGCCAUCUCUCUGUCUUCUCAGAGACAGAGGGAGGGAGGAAGAAAGGUUCUGGAGGCAGAGGAAGAGCCCAAGGGUUCUGGGGGAGCAGGCAGAAGUGCCAACCCCCUGGGCACCUGCCCAGCCUCACCCCUGAGCUUCUCCAUGUGACUCCCCGCCCCCUGCCGUCCCCCUGGCUAUUUUUGGAGCCACCCACUCAGCUGUCUUAAGGUAGCAGUGCCUGGCCCCAGUGUCACCAGGCCCACAGAGGCCAGCCUUCCUUAAUGAAAAGCUGCAGCUACUUCCCCAUCAGAUCCUCCCUGCCCAAUUCAAGGGAGCCAGGGACUGUCCCACAAGCCAGAAAGUCCCCAGAAACCCUUCUCAGGCCCCUCAGCCAUCAGAGGACCUUCCCACUCAGAGCUGUCUGGAUUGCAACCUGCUGCUUGUAACACACAGCACCUUCUGUCUAUUGGGCCUAGGGGUGGGAAGGGAGGUCACAGGGUCUUUAAACUUCUUAGUUUGAAAAAUUUGCAGCAUACUAUAAUAAGCCCCCGUGUAUCUGUCACCUGGCUUCAACAAUUAUCAACUCAUGGCCAGUCUAGUUUCAUCUGUACCCCUCCUGAUUAAUUUCAUCCAUCAAUAUUUCAGUGUGUAUCUUUAAAUGAUAAUGACUCUUUUUAACAUAAUCACAUAACACGUUCAGCUAUUAACAUCAUCAAUAAAAUUCCUUAAUAUCAAA
rnacentral:lncRNA from 10 species